rnacentral:lncRNA from 1 species
AAAUGUUUUAAAUAAAUAAAUAAAAAACUUAGCGAGGUAGACAGUACAAUAAUAAUAAUAAUGUUAAUAUUAAAAAGAUUGCGUUCAGGGGCUUUAAUUAUUCUCUAUUUGUCUAAAUUUAAAAUGAAAAAAUAAGCGACAAAGAUGAAGAAUUAAAAAUAAUAAUACACACAGAGUAAGGAUCGCAUGUUCCCUUGUAUAUUUUUAUUAUUAUGAUUGGCGUCGAGCAGAAAUGGCCAUAUUUUUGUAGUCAGCGGUUUUUUGAGGUCUCGCGUUGAAAAUGAAACAGGUUCUCUGUAUUAUCUGUACCAUUUCUUUCCUUAAAAUGGCCUUAAGUUAGUUUCUUAUUGUUUAUUUCUCAAUGUAUAUUUUUUUAGUUUUUCUCGGAGAGGUUUUUUUUGAAGGUUAUUUUUAUUUUUAUUUUUUUUUUCGUUAAAUAGUAUACUUUAGUGUUAAUGCGGCAACAUCGGUAGUUAAUUUAAUUUAGAAAAAGAAAAGUCAAGAAUAAAUCGGCGGUUCUCAAAAUGUUAGCUUUUCCUAAUAAUCUAUAACUUGCCUAUUUGGUAUCAUGUUUCAUUUUUUUUUUCGUUAAAUAAUAUACUAUUUUUGUUCCUAAAAAAAAUCUAAAUCUUAUAUAAAAAAGUUUUAUGUUUUUAAAAAUAUUAAUAUUGACUAGAUUGAAUAUUAUAUGCUUUUUAUCAGGACUAGUAAAAUUGGAGAAACAAUAUCCAAGGCCAUAUACGUCAUCAAAUUGACAGUUUGUAAUGACAGGCUAUUCCUGAUUUGACAGUGACAAUUUUUUUGAUUGGUUCAUACUUGUAUUAGUCCUAAGUCCUAACCGUAUCCUGAACAUUGACCCUAAGAUUUUAAGGAAAUGCCGUUAAUACUUCUCCUACUUGUCUUAAAAAUAUCCUAGUAUGCGCUUGCGCUCAUGUGAGUUACAGUAUGUUGUGAGUUAACCUAACUUUACAGAUAUUUUUAGGAAUUAGAGAUUUUUCAUUUACUUAUUUGUGAAUAAACAUUAAUAUGUCAAAUAUUAUUUCUAAAAUUCUUAAAACCCCUAGUUUUGAGCAUGCGCAAAUUAAUUUUGAAUUAGUAUUAACCCUAAGAAUCGAAAAUAUCCAAUGUGUGAUUUUUACACUUUUUUUUUGUCUUGUUUUUUAAAGUUCAGUUAAUUUUUUUCACUAAUAAUUGUCCUAGAAGGAAAGAAAAAAAAACAUUUUACCUGUUUUAUUUUUUACGCGAGACGAGAGUUUGCCAACUAAGGGUUGGAUAUUCUACCUCUCUAUAACUGACGUUCAGCCAUUGUAUUAUCAGUCCUUCGUCAGUUAUUGCUGGUUUGAAGCCGUCGAUAAAUGGUAGUUAUCGGGGUUAUCUUCUUUUCUAUGAAUCGAGUUUAUAUUUCGUUAUGUUCAAAACUGUCUAUAUACAGAGUGGAAUAGAAAUUCGAACACAUAUGGGGGAAAAGUUCACAUUUAUGAAUGUGAACGUUAUCGUCCAAUAGCGUCGUUCUUGACAAAGUUUUUUUAUAAAUGUUGCAUGGUUUAUAAAGGUGCAUAUCCUAAAAAUAUUUCGUUGUAUACAAGAUGUCCCAAAAAAAAGGAAUGAUAAAUUUGUUAAAAGUUAUUUCAAAUUUCAACCCCCAAUUUUUUUCGGCACAGUAUUGUGUUCAGCAUAAAAUUCUGCAUAUGUAGUACACUAUUUUUAUUUGAAGUACUAUGCGGUGUUGUCAUGCUAUUUCUUGUUUACUGAAACUUUGAUUAAAAAAACCUAGAGUAAAUUUAACUUUUUAUUAAUACCGGUAUUUUCCUAACCACCAAGAAUAAGGAAAACUUACAUUACUUAUACAACAUUGCAACAUUUAUUAUGCUAUAUCUCAAUUUUUUUAAAUGCGUCACCCUGUAUAUUAUUUUUCUUUGAGAUCCAGAAUUAAAAAACGAACAUUUUUUGUAUUUAAAGUGUUCUUAAAUUUGUAACGGUUUCGCAGAUAUUCGCGGUUUUAUGUUACAUAAUAUGGCUCUUUCAAGAGUAAUUUUUUAUCAAAGCUUUUGUUGAAAGGGCCAUAUAUAAUGUAAAACCGCGUAUAUCUGCGGAACCGUUAGAAAUUUAGGAACGCUUUAAAUACAAAAAAUGUUUGUUACUUAAUUCUGCAUCUAAAAGAAAAAUAAUAUACAGGGUGUUAAAUUAAAAAAAAUGAGAUAGAAUUUUCUUAUUCUGCCUAUCUUUGACCUUUAAGAAAAUGUAGCUAAGUGCUAUUAAAUUCACUGUAGGUUUUAACCACUUUUCGAAUAUACUGUUUUUAACCAAAUUUUCAGUAAACAAGAAACAGCAUGGCAACAGCGCAUAUUCCAUCAAAUAAAAAUAGUGUACUAUAUUCGGAAUCGGUUUCGCAGAUAUUCGCGGGGUUAUAUUACAUAAUAUGGCUCUUUCAAGAGUAAAUUUUUAUCAAAGUUUUUUUUUGAAAGGGCCAUAUGUAAUGUAAUAUCGCGAAUAUCUGCAGAACCGUUAGAAAUUCAGGAACACUUUAAAUACAAAAAAUGUUCGUUACUAAAUUCUGCAUCUAAAAGAAAAAUAAUAUACAGGGUGUUGCAUUAAAAAAAUGAGAUAUGGAAUUUUCUUAUUCCGUCUAUCUUUGACCUUUAAGAAAAUGUAGCUAAGUGCUAUUAAAUUCACUGUAGGUUUUAACCACUUUUCGAAUAUACUGUUUUUAACCAAAUUUUCAGCAAACAAAAAACAGCGUGGCAAUAGCGUAUAUUCCAUCAAAUAAAAAUAGUGUACUAUAUUCGGAAUCGGUUUCGCAGAUAUUCUCGGGGUUAUAUUACAUAAUAUGGCUCUUUCAAGAGUAAAUUUUUAUCAAAGUUUUUUUUUGAAAGGGCCAUAUGCAAUGUAAUAUCGCGAAUAUCUGCAGAACCGUUAGAAAUUCAGGAACACUUUAAAUACAAAAAAUGUUCGUUACUUAAUUCUGCAUCU